UUCCGGUUGAUCCCGCCGGACCUGACUGCUAUCGGAUUGAUACUAAGCCAUGCGAGUCAUUGUAGUAAUACAAGGCAGACGGCUCAGUAACGCGUAGUCAACCUACCCUGUGGACGGGGAUAACCUCGGGAAACUGAGAGUAAUACCCGAUAGAACAUUAUGCCUGGAAUGGUUUAUGUUUCAAAUAAUUUAUUGCCGUAGGAUGGGACUGCGUCCUAUCAGUUUGUUGGUGAGGUAAUGGCCCACCAAGACUAUUACAGGUACGGGCUCUGAGAGGAGUAGCCCGGAGAUGGGUACUGAGACACGGACCCAGGCCCUAUGGGGCGCAGCAGGCGAGAAAACUUUGCAAUGUGCGAAAGCACGACAAGGUUAAUCCGAGUGGUUUCUGCUAAAGGAACCUUUUGUCAGUCCUAGAAACACUGAUGAAUAAGGGGUGGGCAAGUUCUGGUGUCAGCCGCCGCGGUAAAACCAGCACCUCAAGUGGUCAGGAUGAUUAUUGGGCCUAAAGCAUCCGUAGCCUGCUUUGUAAGUUUUCGGUUAAAUCCAUACGCUCAACGUAUGGGCUGCCGGGAAUACUACAAAGCUAGGGAGUGGGAGAGGUAGACGGUACUCGGUAGGAAGGGGUAAAAUCCUUUGAUCUAUUGAUGACCACCUGUGGCGAAGGCGGUCUACCAGAACACGUCCGACGGUGAGGGAUGAAAGCUGGGGGAGCAAACCGGAUUAGAUACCCGGGUAGUCCCAGCUGUAAACUAUGCAAACUCAGUGAUGCAUUGGCUUGAUGCCAAUGCAGUGCUGCAGGGAAGCCGUUAAGUUUGCCGCCUGGGAAGUACGUACGCAAGUAUGAAACUUAAAGGAAUUGGCGGGGGAGCACCACAAGGGGUGAAGCCUGCGGUUCAAUUGGAGUCAACGCCGGA
rnacentral:rRNA from 1 species